AGUGAACGCUGGCGGUAGGCCUAACACAUGCAAGUCGAACGGCAGCACAGUAAGAGCUUGCUCUUACGGGUGGCGAGUGGCGGACGGGUGAGGAAUACAUCGGAAUCUACUUUUUCGUGGGGGAUAACGUAGGGAAACUUACGCUAAUACCGCAUACGACCUACGGGUGAAAGCAGGGGAUCUUCGGACCUUGCGCGAUUGAAUGGGCCGAUGUCGGAUUAGCUAGUUGGCGGGGUAAAGGCCCACCAAGGCGACGAUCGGUAGCUGGUCUGAGAGGGUGACCGGCCACGUUGGGACUGAGAUACGGCCCAGAGUGGUACGGGAGGCAGCAGUGGGGAGUAGUGCACAAUGGGCGGAAGAAGGAUACAGCACAGCCGCGUGCGGGAUGACGGCCGUCGGGGUGUAAACCGCAUUCGCCUGUGACGAAGCGGGAGUGACGGUAAUGGGUAAAGAAGCACCGGCUAACUACGUG
rnacentral:rRNA from 1 species